rnacentral:rRNA from 1 species
UACGUAGGGUGCGAGCGUUUAAUCGGAAUUACUGGGCGUAAAGCGUGCGUAGGCGGUUCGUUAUGUCUGCUGUGAAAGCCCCGGGCUUAACCUGGGAAUGGCAGUGGAAACUGGCGGGCUUGAGUGUGGCAGAGGGGGGUGGAAUUCCGCGUGUAGCAGUGAAAUGCGUAGAGAUGCGGAGGAACACCGAUGGCGAAGGCAGCCCCCUGGGCUGACACUGACGCUCAGGCACGAAAGCGUGGGGAGCAAACAGG